UACGGGGGGGGCAAGCGUUGUUCGGAAUUACUGGGCGUAAAGGGCUCGUAGGUGGCCAACUAAGUCAGACGUGAAAUCCCUCGGCUUAACCGGGGAAAGGCGUCUGAUACUGGAUGGCUUGAGUUCGGGAGAGGGAUGCGGAAUUCCAGGUGUAGCGGUGAAAUGCGUAGAUAUCUGGAGGAACACCGGUGGCGAAGGCGGCAUCCUGGACCGAAACUGACACUGAGGAGCGAAAGCCAGGGGAGCAAACGGG
rnacentral:rRNA from 1 species